GAAGAACGCGGGCGGCGUGCUUAACACAUGCAAGUCGAACGGAAAGGCCCUGCUUUUGUGGGGUGCUCGAGUGGCGAACGGGUGAGUAACACGUGAGUAACCUGCCCUUGACUUUGGGAUAACUUCAGGAAACUGGGGCUAAUACCGGAUAGGAGCUCCUGCUGCAUGGUGGGGGUUGGAAAGUUUCGGCGGUUGGGGAUGGACUCGCGGCUUAUCAGCUUGUUGGUGGGGUAGUGGCUUACCAAGGCUUUGACGGGUAGCCGGCCUGAGAGGGUGACCGGCCACAUUGGGACUGAGAUACGGCCCAGACUCCUACGGGAGGCAGCAGUGGGGAAUAUUGCACAAUGGGCGGAAGCCUGAUGCAGCAACGCCGCGUGCGGGAUGACGGCCUUCGGGUUGUAAACCGCUUUCGCCUGUGACGAAGCGUGAGUGACGGUAAUGGGUAAAGAAGCACCGGCUAACUACGUG
rnacentral:rRNA from 1 species